rnacentral:rRNA from 1 species
UACGGGGGGAGCAAGCGUUGUUCGGAUUUACUGGGCGUAAAGGGCGCGUAGGCGGCCAGCACAAGUCAGUUGUGAAAUCUCCGGGCUUAACCUGGGAACUGCAUCCGAUACUGGAUGGCUUGAAUCCGGGAGAGGGAUGCAGAAUUCCAGGUGUAGCGGUGAAAUGCGUAGAUAUCUGGAGGAACACCGGUGGCGAAGGCGGCAUUCUGGACCAAUAUUGACGCUGAGGAGCGAAAGCCAGGGGAGCAAACGGG